rnacentral:rRNA from 1 species
AGCUAAUAGAUACCCCGGUAGUCCACGCCCUAAACGAUGUCUACUAGUUGUUGGUGGAGUAAAAUCCAUGAGUAAACGCAGCUAAACGCGUGAAGUAGACCGCCUGGGGAGUACGGUCGCAAGAUUAAAACUCAAAGGAAUUGACGGGGGCCCGCACAAGCGGUGGAUUAUGUGGAUUAAAUUCGAUGCAACGCGAAAAACCUUACCUGGCCUUGACAUGCCACUAACGAAGCAGAGAUGCAUUAGGUGCCCGUAAGGGAAAGUGGACACAGGUGCUGCAUGGCUGUCGUCAGCUCGUGUCGUGAAAUGUUGGGUUAAGUCCCGCAACGAGCGCAACCCUUGCCAUUAAUUGCCAUCAUUUAGUUGGGCACUUUAAUGGGACUGCCGGUGACAAACCGGAGGAAGGUGGGGAUGACGUCAAGUCCUCAUGGCCCUUAUGGCCAGGGCUUCACACGUAAUACAAUGGUCGGUACAGAGAGUUGCCAACCCGCGAGGGGUAGCUAAUCUCAGAAAGCCGAUCGUAGUCCGGAUUGUUCUCUGC